rnacentral:ncRNA from 1 species
UCCGACAAGGGCAAACCAGCCGCGAGGCUGGGACGCAAAGCCGCGGGUCAGGGCUCGAGGCCCUGACGGCCGGGCUGCCGAAG